rnacentral:rRNA from 1 species
GAUGAACGCUGGCGGCGUGCCUAAUACAUGCAAGUCGAGCGAACAGACGAGGAGCUUGCUCCUCUGACGUUAGCGGCGGACGGGUGAGUAACACGUGGAUAACCUACCUAUAAGACUGGGAUAACUUCGGGAAACCGGAGCUAAUACCGGAUAAUAUAUUGAACCGCAUGGUUCAAUAGUGAAAGACGGUUUUGCUGUCACUUAUAGAUGGAUCCGCGCCGCAUUAGCUAGUUGGUAAGGUAACGGCUUACCAAGGCAACGAUGCGUAGCCGACCUGAGAGGGUGAUCGGCCACACUGGAAGUGAGACACGGUCCAGACUCCUACGGGAGGCAGCAGUAGGGAAUCUUCCGCAAUGGGCGAAAGCCUGGCGGAGCAACGCCGCGUGAGUGAUGAAGGUCUUCGGAUCGUAAAACUCUGUUAUUAGGGAAGAACAAAUGUGUAAGUAACUAUGCACGUCUUGACGGUACCUAAUCAGAAAGCCACGGCUAACUACGUG